rnacentral:rRNA from 1 species
UACAGAGGGUGCGAACGUUGCUCGGAAUUACUGGGCGUAAAGCGCGUGUAGGCGGCCUGUUAAGUUGGUAGUGAAAUCCCAUGGCUCAACCAUGGAAGUGCUGCCAAAACUGGCAGGCUGGAGUGCCGGAGAGGGUGGCGGAAUUCCCAGUGUAGAGGUGAAAUUCGUAGAUAUUGGGAGGAACACCGGUGGCGAAGGCGGCCACCUGGACGGUAACUGACGCUAAGACGCGAAAGCGUGGGGGAGCAAACAGG